GCCUACGGGACGCAGCAGUGAGGAAUAUUGGUCAAUGGGCGCGAGCCUGAACCAGCCAAGUCGCGUGAGGGAUGACGGCCCUACGGGUUGUAAACCUCUUUUGCCGGGGAGCAAUGCCGGGCACGCGUGCCCGGAGGGAGAGUACCCGCAGAAUAAGCAUCGGCUAACUCCGUGCCAGCAGCCGCGGUAAUACGGAGGAUGCGAGCGUUAUCCGGAUUUAUUGGGUUGAAAGGGUGCGUAGGCGGAUUUUUAAGUCAGCGGUAAAAUGACCGGGCUCAACCCGGGCCGGCCGUUGAA
rnacentral:rRNA from 1 species